rnacentral:misc_RNA from 1 species
UCGAAACCUGCAAAGCAGAACGACCUGUGAACAAGUCAUCUACAUCAGGGGAUUCCUUGGGUUGUAAAGGCCCUUGGAGAAACCUGAAGUCGGGGAAGGGGGUGUGCCUUCAGCCUCGAAUUAACAACGAACCACGGCGUGAGAAACGCCAAGGAAACUAAAUAGAGCGACAAUCUUCACGGAUUUGUUGUGCUUAUAAUGUCUAUAACGACUCUCGGCAACGGAUAUCUCGGCUCUCGCAUCGAUGAAGAACGUAGCGAAAUGCGAUACUUGGUGUGAAUUGCAGAAUCCCGUGAACCAUCGAGUCUUUGAACGCAAGUUGCGCCUGAAGCCUUCGGGCUGAGGGCACGUCUGCCUGGGUGUCACGCACUCGUUGCCCCCACCCCAUUGCAAUUUAUUUAGCGUUGGACAGGGGUGGAUUUUGGUCUCCCGUGCGCUCCUGCUUGCGGUUGGCCUAAAAAAGAGUUCCUGUCGCUGAGCGUCGUGACAAGCGGUGGUUGAAACAUGCCCUCGUACAAAGAGUUGCGUUCGUUAUGCGUACAAUCAUCUGGACCUCGAUGACCCUUUACCAUCUAUUUGCGACCCCAGGUCAGGC